ACUGUGAUUUGAUCAUCACCUCUGAUACAGCAGUAGCUCAUCUGGCCGGAGCAUUAGGGUGCAAGUAUGGGUCGCUCUCAAGUACAUCCAGACUGGCGCUGGAUGCUGGAACGACCUGAUACCCCGUGGUAUCCGAGCAUGAGACUAUAUCGCCAGGAUAAAGCUGGUGACUGGGAUUCGGUAUUCAGACUCAUUAAGCA
rnacentral:rRNA from 1 species